UAUAUACUCCCUCCGUCCGGAAAUACUUGUCCUAGAAAUGAAAAAUAUGGAUGUAUUUAUAACUAAAAUAAGUCUAGAUACAACCAUUUCGAGGACAAGUAUUUCCGAACGGAGGGAGUACUUA
rfam:Triticum aestivum genome assembly, contig: Triticum_aestivum_CS42_TGACv1_scaffold_456657_5DS